GGGUAAUGGUGCACCAGAUUGUGAACAAACCUUAGUAAUCAUUUUUGUAUGGUUCUUUUGUCUUACAAACAACAUUUCAGUAUUGUGUAUAUACAUGGUGACUGUCACUUUACAGCCAGAUGAUGGAAGCUGAAGAACUUGUCACUCGAUAGGUAGUGAUCUACUGUACUUCUGUUCAUAUAAAUGCAUGAGUGUGAAGGGUUGAAUUUGAGUUUGAAGCUGCACAUGAGUUAAUGGGAUUAUAAAAGCUUCUUUAGGCAGCACUGAAAAUGGGUUGGGCAAAUAUGUUUGUGGGUUUGGGUUUGAGAAGGACCUGCCUAGUAUGGGCCAAUAGGCCUGCUGCAGUGUUUCUCCUUUUUUAUGUUAUGUUCUGUAGGAUAUAACAGAGUUGAUGACAACUUGAUGUAUUCUGACAUUUUGUCUUCAUUUUCCAAUUAAAUUUUAACUUUUGUGACAUGCACUUUUAAGUAUGGUGAUCCUUUGUUUUUUGCUUUUUUUUUAGAUGGGGCGGAGAAACGUAGUUUGGGUGCAACAGCAGCUGCAUAACCACAGCCAUCUCCCACCGAGGCAGGAUGACCCCAAAAAAACUUUCACCAUCAUUCACACUAUCACUGUCUUGCCAGAGGCGUGCAGAUACCACAGUUCGGAUGUCCCUCCAAACAGCAAAUAUCCCCACCCAUCUUUGAGAGUGCAGGUACUGUACUUCCCACUUCCAGGACUCAAGUCCAAUAUGUGUAUAAAAAAAAAAAAAGCAAUAUUCAAUGAAAAGUGCAGAGAAAUGGCUCUUACUAAAUCAUUUUUCUCAGUGACUGAAGCAUCCUAGCCCUGUGUGUGCUGACUGGGCUUAGAGGCCUCCAUAGACAUAUUUCAUGAAUCACUAAACCUGCAGUGUUGGUCAUUUAGCACAAGCAGUGGUGGAGGCUCAGUCCUCCAUCUGCUUAUCAUGUCAUUGUUUUGAUCAGUCAUCUUGGUGAUCAGAACAAUAGAAGCCUCCAAAGAUAUCUUGAGCAGCAGUGGUUGGAACUUCCUGUGCCACUGGAACUACAGUAAUGGAGGCUGACUUAACAGCUGCCCUUUGUAUUUGCCAUCCUUGGUGACUCUUCAAGAUGUGAGGGAUGGGUUCAGACUUUAUUGACCAAGGUCAAACAAGUCCUUUGAGAAAAUAGAAUGCUCAGAGUUGCCCACCUGAAUCACUGUACUGGUUGUCUAAUGUUUUGAGCACCUCAUUAUUUUCAAGUAAAGAAUUUUGGGAUAUCUGGUCCAGCACAUGUCCACCUGAAUAAAUCUGCUAAAUUAU